UUCUAUAGUAUGGUGCCCAGAACGGAACACAAUACUCUAAAUGCGGCAUCACCAGUGUCAUAACUGCAACAUCACCUUCCAAUUUCUAUACUCAAGUCCUGUCGAGUUCUCAGUCUCCAUUGGUCGCCGUGGACCAAGGAAGAAUUUCAUUGUUCCAUUUUGCACAGAAAAAAUGAUGACACGACGAACUGGAGGUGCUGACUUAUUAAAAAAAAGGGCACAAAGUGCCUGUUUGUGGGAAAUUACUUCAUGAAAGAGAACGCUAAACAAGUACUGGGCGAUGGGAUUAAUAUGGAAUGGUGCUUGAGUCAGCGUGCACGAGUACAGCUCGGGUCAACAAUAUCAAAUACUUACCCCACCCCGGUCAUUCCUCCUCCUCUCUGCACCUGUUGGCAGGAGAUACAGAAGCUUGAAAACACGCACCACCGGACUUGGGAACAGCUUACUCUCUCCUCUGUUAUCAGGUUUCUGAAUGGACCUUUGAUAAGCUAUGGUACUGUCCGAUUCACCUCUACCCCACUGCGGACAUUGGACUUUGUCUGCGGAACUGAUGCACUACAAUGCUGAGAACUAUAUUCUGCAUCCUGUUUCUUACCCUUUGAUCUACCCAUUGUAUUUGAGUUUGACUUGAUUGUAUUUAUGUACACUGAUAUCUGAUCUGUUUGGAUAGUAUGCAAAAUCAAGCGUAUCUCUGUACCUCGGUACGCUUGACAAUAAUAAACCUAAACUUAAAUCUGA